CUCUUGAGUUCGCCAACUCUGAUGUUAUUUAGACAAGGCCAUUUUUCCCAAACUUAGUACAUUGCGUUUUGAAUUAUAUACUAUUCUAUCUUCUUCACUCAACUGUCAGAUCUACAUCUGUGUUUAAUUAGAAGAAGAAAUGAAUUCCCAUUAACACCAUUAGGCAACAUGCUAUGAUUGGUUAAAGCCUACAUGGACUGUGAAACUGAUCUAGAAAGCCCAGGAGACCAUAAUGGGGCAGCUCCCACUCAGCCACAUGAUCAGGAGAGCAAAUGACUGAACUACACAGUAUGCUGUGUAAAUA